rnacentral:rRNA from 1 species
AGUGAACGUUGGCGGCGUGGAUUAGGCAUGCAAGUCGUACGAGAAUCGUAGCAAUACGAGGAAAGUGGCGGAAGGGAGAGGAUUACGUGGGAAUCUACCCUCAGAACUGGGAUAGCGGCGGGAAACUGCCGGUAAUACCAGAUAAUGUCUGUGGACCAAAGGUGUGAUUCCGUCUAGGGAUGAGCCCACGUCCUAUUAGCUAGUUGGCAGGGUAAUGGCCUACCAAGGCAAUGAUGGGUAGCGGGUGUGAGAGCAUGACCCGCCUCACUGGGACUGAGAACUGCCCAGACACCUACGGGUGGCUGCAGUCGAGAAUCUUCGGCAAUGAGCGCAAGCUUGACCGAGCGACGCCGCGUGCGGGAUGAAGGCCUUCGGGUUGUAAACCGCUGUCGUAGGGGAGCAAGAGAUGAGGGUACUCCCUCUGAUUUGAGCGAUCCUAGGAGGAAGGACGGGCUAAGUUCGUGCCAGCAGCCGCCGUAAAAC